CACGCCGUAAACGAUGGAUGCUAGAUGCUGCGGGUAUUGACCCCUGCGGUGUCGCAGUUAACGCAAUAAGCAUCCCGCCUGGGGAGUACGGCCGCAAGGCUAAAACUCAAAGGAAUUGACGGGGGCCCGCACAAGCGGUGGAGCAUGUGGUUCAAUUCGACGCAACGCGCAAAACCUUACCUGGGUUAAAUCCGCUGGAAUCCCGCAGAGAUGUAGGAGUGCUCGCAAGAGAGCCAGUGAGAAGGUGC
rnacentral:rRNA from 1 species